rnacentral:rRNA from 1 species
UACGGAGGGGACUAGCGUUGUUCGGAAUUACUGGGCGUAAAGCGCACGUAGGCGGAUUUGUAAGUCAGGGGUGAAAUCCCGGGGCUCAACCUCGGAACUGCCUUUGAUACUGCAAAUCUCGAGUCCGGAAGAGGUGAGUGGAAUUCCUAGUGUAGAGGUGAAAAUUCGUAGAUAUUAGGAAGAACACCAGUGGCGAAGGCGGCAUCACUGGUCCGGUACUGACGCUGAGGUGCGAAAGCGUGGGGAGCAACAGGG